rnacentral:rRNA from 1 species
GAGGAAUAUUGGGCAAUGCCCGCAAGGGUGACCCAGCAACGCCGCGUGGAGGAUGAAUGUCGUAAGAUUGUAAACUCCUGUUAGAGGGGAAGAAUAGUACCGGUUGGACCGGUAUAUGACUGUACCCUCAGAGAAAGCCCCGGCUAACUACGUGCCAGCAGCCGCGGUAAUACGUAGGGGGCAAGCGUUGUCCGGAUUUACUGGGUGUAAAGGGCGCGCAGGCGGGAUAAAAAGUCAGUGGUGAAAUCCUACAGCUUAACUGUAGAACUGCCUUUGAUACUUUUAUUCUUGAGCUCGGGAGAGAGAGACGGAAUUCCAGGGGUAGUGGGGAAAUACGUAGAUAUCUGUAAGAACACCAGUUGCGAAGGCGGUCUCUUGGUCCGACACUGACGCUGAGGCGCGAAAGCGUGG